UCAAUGGCAGAUCGCGCGGGGAGACCUUCGGGUCUGCCGGUGCCUACUUCCGGCUCGCCAACCCCGCGCGGUCUGCCACCCU
rnacentral:antisense_RNA from 1 species